UAAAUGUAAUGAUAUACAAGAACAACUAGUGAAAAUGGAAUAUUAAAUUCUAUUGCACUUUAAGCAAUAUUAGAUAUUUCAAAUAUCUUCCUAGGCAACACAUUUUGAAAAAGAUAAAAAUGAACGGGCGAAAGCAGAUGGAUACACAACAGCCAAAACGUUCCAGAUAAAGCAAAUGAAAAAUAAACUGGAAUCAGAGAAAAUAGCUGACCCUAUCCAAAAGCCUAUCAGUGUAGAUCCAUCUUGUGAAACACCAGUGGGGGAUGCCUAUGACUUCAACACAGAUUAUGUAGAGGAUUUGUCACCAAUGCCAAUUAGUUAAGGCCAGGAUGACUAAUGGCUUAAGUAACAGAACAUUGGAACUGUACAGUUUAAAUCUAAAACAAUAACUUCUCUACAAUUUUUUAACGAUGGAGAUUUCAGUGUAAAAAAGCAAAUUGUAUUAUAAACUUGUAAAAUAUAUGUUGGAUUUAAGACAUUAAAUAACUGUGUGGAUUAUA